AGAACAUAGUCGUAACUUGGA
rnacentral:misc_RNA from 1 species